GAUGAACGCUGGCGGCGUGCUUAACACAUGCAAGUCGAACGAUGAAGCCCAGCUUGCUGGGUGGAUUAGUGGCGAACGGGUGAGUAACACGUGAGUAACCUGCCCUUAACUCUGGGAUAAGCCUGGGAAACUGGGUCUAAUACCGGAUAGGAGCGCCUACCGCAUGGUGGGUGUUGGAAAGAUUUAUCGGUUUUGGAUGGACUCGCGGCCUAUCAGCUUGUUGGUGAGGUAAUGGCUCACCAAGGCGACGACGGGUAGCCGGCCUGAGAGGGUGACCGGCCACACUGGGGCUGAGACACGGCCCAGACUCCUACGGGAGGCAGCAGUGGGGAAUAUUGCACAAUGGGCGAAAGCCUGAUGCAGCGACGCCGCGUGAGGGAUGACGGCCUUCGGGUUGUAAACCUCUUUCAGUAGGGAAGAAGCGAAAGUGACGGUACCUGCAGAAGAAGCACCGGCUAACUACGUG
rnacentral:rRNA from 1 species